GAUGAACGCUGGCGGCGUGCCUAACACAUGCAAGUCGAGCGAUCUCUUCGGAGAGGGCGGCGGACGGGUGAGUAACGCGUGGGUAACCUGCCCUGUCCACACGGAUAACAUACCGAAAGGUAUGCUAAUACGGGAUAAAAUAUGAAAGUCACAUGACUUUUGUAGCAAAGAUUUAUCGGUACAGGAUGGACCCGCGUCUGAUUAGCUAGUUGGUAAGGUAAUGGCUUACCAAGGCGACGAUCAGUAGCCGACCUGAGAGGGUGAUCGGCCACACUGGAACUGAGACACGGUCCAGACUCCUACGGGAGGCAGCAGUGGGGAAUAUUGCACAAUGGGCGAAAGCCUGAUGCAGCAACGCCGCGUGAGCGAUGAAGGCCUUCGGGUCGUAAAGCUCUGUCCUCAAGGAAGAUAAUGACGGUACUUGAGGAGGAAGCCCCGGCUAACUACGUGCCAGCAGCCGCCGCGGUAA
rnacentral:rRNA from 1 species